UGAACCGUCUCGCUUAGUCUCCGCAAAAUUGGGAGAACGGGGGAACCGAUACUGCCGUGCAAUAGACAUCUUGAUCUGAUGCACGCCGCCGUAUUUGAUUUCUUUAUCGGGUCUUUGGGGUGAAUUAGAUGGUCCUCGCCAUGAGCGGGGCACUGGAUAUAGGGCGUCUCUCUUUCGUCCGAACCCGACAGCUAACCCCGGAAGCGAAGUAAGAGGGGAAAU
rnacentral:sRNA from 2 species